CUCAUUUGCUGGCACACUUCGGCCCCCACAGUGCAAACCUAACUCUCUUUCCCCUCGACCCCCACAGCGCAGCGCAUCACCACUCCCUCCUCCCUCAUCAGCCGCCGCCAGGUCUUCUCGCUGGGGUCGAAGAGUAGGGGAUCCGGCUGGAUCCGAGGCGUGCGGGCGUGGUGGCGGUCAUCUUUGGCAGCGGCGGCGGCGGGCAUCUCCGGCAAAAAGCGAUGGCGGGGAUGCUCGAUUCGCCAUGGACCGGUCCCUGCAGGAGAGAGAAAGAAAGAGAGGAGGGAGAACGCGAGAGGAAAGAGGAGAGGGAGGUGCGACGGCGGGCGGGAGAGGGUCUCCGGCCGGUGCGAGACAUUCACGUCUCUCGUCCUCUCCUGCUCUCGACCACCACCGUGGCCCUCCUUCUCCCCUUCAAUUCCCUGUCUCCUCUUCUCUGGAGUUACCUGAGUGGUCAACACCGAGAAAGAUGGGGAAUACAAAGCCAGCGAGGAAGACAGCUUGACUCUGCCGCCGAUACUGACCGGCCAAUUCUGUCGGGCGCCGUCAUGGGAGGAGGCGAACCAUCGAGGAGCAGCACGGGAGGAGAUAAAGAUAAGCCGCCGGACUCCCUGUUCACUUGUGGUUGCAUCUUGCCCGUGAGCUCCUUCUUCUUACAGCCAGCUUGGCCCUUUUCUUGCCAUGUUUUGGGUGAUGCAGCGUAUCAAGCAGGCGAGGGCGAGGAUCAGAUGCGGUAGCAGCUGAAGGAGUCAUGGAGAGGGGGCGAGAGUGGGCAGCGGCUGUCGGCCAAGAAGGAAGAGGCUGGGACGAGGACCGGAGGAGGAGGUUCUCAUGGUGGAGCAUAGGAGGACGGAGGCGGAGUGCUGCUGCAACAGCUGUGGGACUGGGCGAAAGGAUGAAAUUAUUGUUUACUUUAGAUUGGGGCGCUGGAGCCAAUGAAAAAAGAUCACUGCAGCUUUGAACGUGGGCACAAGUCAAAUGAAACUAUUGGAUGGAGCAAUUCAGUGCGGUGGGGUACAGGGGCUCGUGCAGGAGUAUAUAUAACAGCAGAGUUCAUCUCUGUUUUGCUGACAAUCCACACUGAAACUGUUGAAAAGUAGAUAAUCAGCCAAUAAACAGUAAAUCAUCACAUCUAUUUGCUUUCCUGGUAUAUGGGGCCAUUAUUAUUCUGGUACUUCUAAAGAGUCAUUAUUCUUAUGGUACUUCUACAUUUGCAUAUCUUUGUGUUCAGAUGGAAGUCACCUGGCAAAGGUCUAACGUUUCAGAUUUAAUGUUAUAUACAUGCCCAAGAGUAAUACGUUAUAUAAUAUACUCUAGAUUGUAUUCUUAUUUAGUUUUUUUCAUGCUUCUUGUUUCACUGGGCUAUUGCAAAGACGACAUAUCCACUUGGAGUUGGAUAUUAUUUUGAUAACCAUAUCUAGCUAUUUUUACAAAAUAAUAUCAAUUAACUUGCAUCGAUUCAAUGCUAGAGCGGUAGUCAUGAAACAUUGCCACUGCGCCACAAGGCGAUUAAAAUCAUGGAAAUUGAUAUAAAAGUUACUUGUGAUUUCUAUAGUCAUGUAAUCACAAACCAUAAUGAUAAAAAAGCCAAAUCGUUUAUUUUAUUGGAGAACACAUCAACUAUAUGGAGAAUCAAAGGUGAAUGUAAAUGAAACGCUCCAUGUACGUUUAGGCUCCAAUAUAAGAUUAAAAUAGUGGAUAAAUCAUUGUACCAUAUUCAAUUAGAACUACAAAGAAGAAGAGAAAUGGUUGAAUAGCAAAUUCUGACCGGCCAAUUCCGUCGGGCACCGUCAUGGGAGGAGGCGAACCAUGGAGGAGCAGCAUGGGAGGAGAUGAAAAUAAGCUGUCGGACUCCCUAUUCACUUCUGGUUGCAUCUUGCCUGUGAGCUCCUUCUUCUUACAGCUAGCUUGGCCCUUUUAUUGUCAUGUUUUGGGUGUUCCUUCCUACAGCCAGCUUUGCCAUUUUCUUUGGAAGUAGUAAUUCAACUCAGAAAGCAUAAAUAAUUUGAGACUGCUUCUGUCCUCCCUACAAUUUGUUGAAGUCAUCAUUCUUUUUUCUUUUUUUCUGUAGUUUUUCCUCAUCUUUUACAGUUUAUUUGGGUUAUUUCAUUCUCUGGUACUUGGGCAUAUUGGUUGUCUUGUUGUCUCCUUUUACUAACAGUAUUUCCUAUUCAGUGUAUGGGAGAGGUUACUAGCUCACAUAUAUAGUUUAGUUAUUAAGUUUCUAAAUAAGUUCAGCCUCAGAGCUCGGAUUUUGUACGCUUCAAAAUUGGAGUGUGACUUUUGCUUGCUGAUUGAUUCAGUUAUGGUGUGGAUGCCUACUACUCAAAAUGAUUUUAUAUCGUAUCAUAAAUUUCAGGAACCGUAUCACAACAAAUCAUUGGCAUUGCAGCUUCAGGGACAUGUAUGAUGCAGCUUCAGGGAUUUUAGUGAUUCUCUGAUAUUUGAUGCAAAAUAUUGAUGGUCGGGUGAAUGCAGUGGACUCAUCGAGAUUGAGGGCACCAACAGCAUAUGCCGAGGGCGUCCAUCGACAACCUGCCCAAUGUCCGGAUUCACCGAGGAGUACAGCUAGAGACACUAUUGGUUGCCUGCAGGCCUGUGAGUUGAGUUGCUGCUUCGUUGGAGAUGUUGAUGUUGUUCGAGACGCCCGCUGGAUUCACCCUUUUCAAGGUUCUGAAUUAGGGCAAGCUCGACAAGGUUGAGUGGUACAGGUAUGAUCUUCAUGGAGCUAGCCAUCAUUGGAUUUGGUAAUACAUAAUCACUUAUUCAGAGAGCCCAAGGUGAGAAGGGACGAGCAUCUAGAACACCACCACCUACUAAUCAGGGAGCUACUAUCUGUCUUUGAAUGAGUUACUUAACAAGAGAAGGCAGGAGUUUCCUACCUUUCUUCUGCAAAUCCGGAAUGCCUUUAUGGCAUGAUCAUGUGAAAAAGGACCUUGAUGCAGUAAUGGAUUUGAUUAUCACUGGUUACUCUGUUUUCACGAAUUACUAUCCAACUAGCAUGGAAGAACCAAAAGGUAGUUGAUCAGCAGGAUGGCAAGAGGAAGACAAGAACCAAAUUAAAGUUUGUUGUUGUGCAUGUCUGUAUCUAUCAAGAUUCAGUGCUAUGUAGAAAUGUCCCUGAGAUUUGUUUCACUCAACGAGACCAAACAAUCAGGAACACAAGUAGGAUAGUUGAUGCUUUUUUCAUUUUUCUUCUGAUAAAAAGGAAUCUUCAUCUGCCAAGAAUAAGGCCUACAAGCAUGUAUGCCUAAUUACCUAUAUGCUGAUUUAACGAGCUCACAUACAUGUCCAUUUCUGAAAAUAGUUUUACCAUCCUCAAACAUAUAACUUGUGUGUUGUUGCUUUCCAUUAUAUUGAGAAAAACAUAAGUAUCAUUGGACAUUUUAUUCAUUCAGGAGCUCUAAAUGACAUUGUUGUAUUGGCAACAUAUUCAGUCAUUUCGGAUCA